GUUCUAUUAGUAUUAAACAGUACAAGUGACUUCCAAUCAAUUAGUUUCGGCAUAAAUCCGAAAUAGAACA
rnacentral:tRNA from 1 species